rnacentral:rRNA from 1 species
AUGGCGGCGGCAGAAGCGAGAGCUGCUUGGCAACGGGCUGCCAACCGCUGCUUGUUUCAGGAGGAUGCAAAGAGAGCUCCAAAAUUGGCCUGCUGUCCACCGACAAUGCAACAGCAUGAAGCAAACAGCGGGAACCCCACCAGUCCGCGAGACUGCCACAUCCCGAAUUUCAUGCAUUUGAACUGGAACCCGAUGAACUCCAAUCAGCCGAUAGAUGCCUGGUUUCUUCAGCUGCAGCCCAAUUUCGGGUGCCACAAGGUGCUUUCUGGUGACCAUCUGAAUUACAUGGGCGGAGAAGCCACUGCCAAGAAAGUGGACAGUUUCUCGCCAAUCUCUACGCUUGACGACAUAAACACAAAGAAGAGUGAGUGCCCUUCUGAGCUACCAUGGAUGGUUUCGACGGCUUUUAUGAAGCAAACAUCUGAAGCACCUUGCGAAGGGUGCCCUCAAACGAGUCUCAAAUGCAGAGGAAAUCCGAAUGACUUCCUUCAUGAGGAUAAAGAGGUUAUGGACUUCAAAACUUUUGAUCCUUUGUUUCCAAAGAAACCAAAGAAGGCAUGCUAUGAGAUGGAUCCACCUUGGGAACAAGAGAGGAAGUGUCAGCCCUGGUGGCAAGUAGCUGAUGAGGAAGGACUGGCUUCGCUUGUUGCAGAAAGAGCAAUGCAGCACAUUGAGAACAAUGAUCUGCCAAAACCCACUCAGAUAGUGCGUAUUCAUGGGGCAAAAUUGAACGGUCAUGAAAACAAGGAUGGCUGUGGGAAUUCAUUAUCUUCUUCUGGUAAAGAGUCGCGGCCGCAACCACACGACACUAUGAUGUGCAGCUAUAGCCUCUCAAGCACCAAUGAGACGAAUUCAUCUGACGGUGGAGGCUGGCAACAGUCUCACAAAAAUGAUGCACAUGGGGGCACGCAGGAUUCAUAUAGUAGUGGUGAUCAUACACCAGGCAGCAAGCCCACAUAUCAGAAUCAGAAAGACGCCGAGAGGGCCCAGCUACUGGACGCUCUUCGCCAUUCGCAGACACGGGCUAGGGAAGCCGAGGUGGCUGCCAAGAAUGCUCAUGAUGAGAAAGACCAUGUCGUCAAGCUAUUGUUUCGUCAGGCCUCGCACCUCUUUGCGUGUAAGCAGUGGCUGAAAAUGCUGCAACUGGAGAACAUAUGCCUCCAGCUCACGCUGAAAGAGCAUCAGAUAGCAGCCAUGUUCCCGGAGCUUCCCUGGACGGUGAUGAAGGAGGAGAAGGCGGAGCCAGAAGAGGGGCGGAAAGGCAGGGCAAAGAAGAAAGGCAGGAGGCAGAGCAAGGAAGGUGGCUUCUGCAAGGCCAUCAUGUUUGCAGUUGGCGUAGGCAUCGUCGGCGCGGGGUUGCUCCUUGGCUGGACCUUUGGGUGGCUGCUGCCCAGGUUGUAA